GUCCACGCCGUAAACGAUGUCAACUAGCCGUUGGGUACCUUGAGUACUUAGUGGCGCAGCUAACGCAUUAAGUUGACCGCCUGGGGAGUACGGCCGCAAGGUUAAAACUCAAAUGAAUUGACGGGGCCCGCACAAGCGGUGGAGCAUGUGGUUUAAUUCGAAGCAACGCGAAGAACCUUACCUGGCCUUGACAUGCUGAGAACUUUCUAGAGAUAGAUUGGUGCCUUCGGGAACUCAGACACAGGUGCUGCAUGGCUGUCGU
rnacentral:rRNA from 1 species